GACGGAAGUGUGGCCGGUUUGCCCCACUUUGCCCUGCGAGAGCUCCCUUCUCGCGUCUCCACCACCCUUCUCUGAUGAGGGAGUCAGGCAUAGUCCAGGCAGAGGCAAGCGGAGCCAGUAGCUUCGGGAAACUCCCGCGGCGCUUCGAACCCUCCGGACGCUUGAAGGACGAGCGAGGCGCCCUUGCCAACCCUUACAGGGACACCUAGCCGUAACGUGCAGAGUGAGACUGAAGAAGAGAGGAUCAAGACCAGGGGGGUGAAGAGAGCACUAGGGCUUGGCCGGAAGAGAGGUUAAAGAGGAAAGGCCUCACUGGAGAAAGAGAGAGUUAAACCACAACAGGCAGUACCUAGUUCCAGUUCUUGGUCCCAGGGGUUUGUGGUUGCUGCUUUCAUCUUGCUCAGCCAAAACAAAAGGAAAGUGUCAAAUGGCGAUUCUUUAGGACUUCCAGUGCAGUCUCCACCUCACAGAUUUGGCUCAUUUGUGUCCACUCCUUUCCCUAACCCUUUAUACUUGAUGCUGUCAGAUGAGUAGAAAGGAGCACAAUUAGUGGAAAACACAGCUUGGGAGUCAAGGGAUUUGGGUUCUAUUCUUGUCCCUUGGUGACGACAUCAUUACUUUGGGUUAUUCACACUUUCAGUGCCAGAAUUCCUAGAUCGAUAAAAGAUUAUUAUAUUGACCUCUUAUAGAAAUGUUUUGACGGUACUGAAUUCCUAAUAAAGUUGUGUAACAAUGA